GCGGUGUAAAAUGAGCGUGCGUCCUAUUAGCUAGUUGGUGAGGCAAUGGCUCACCAAGGCUACGAUGGGUAGGGGUUCUUAGUGGAAGAUCCCCCACACUGGCACUGAGAUACGGGCCAGACUCCUACGGGAGGCAGCAGUAGGGAAUAUUGGUCAAUGGGCGAAAGCCUGAACCAGCCAUGCCGCGUGCAGGAUGACAGCUCUCUGAGUUGUAAACUGCUUUUGUACAGGAGCAAAACAAUCCCUGCGGGGGUUCUUGGGAGUACUGUAAGAAUAAGCACCGGCUAAUUCCGUGCCAGCAGCCGCGGUAAUACGGAAGGUGCAAGCGUUAUCCGGUUUUAUUGGGUUUAAAGGGUGCGUAGGCGGCUUAUUAAGUCAGUUGUGAAAUCCUAGUGCUUAACGCUAGAACUGCAAUUGAUACUAUUAGGCUUGAGUUAAGAAUAGGU
rnacentral:rRNA from 1 species